UACGGGGGGGGUAAGCGUUGUUCGGAAUUACUGGGCGUAAAGGGCUCGUAGGCGGCCAACUAAGUCAGACGUGAAAUCCCUCAGCUUAACUGGGGUACUGCGUCUGAUACUGGAUGGCUUGGAUUCGGGAGAGGAAUGCGGAAUUCCAGGUGUAGCGGUGAAAUGCGUAGAUAUCUGGAGGAACACCGGUGGCGAAGGCGGCAUUCUGGACCGACAUUGACGCUGAGGAGCGAAAGCCAGGGGAGCAAACGGG
rnacentral:rRNA from 1 species